ACCUUAUCAAGAGUGGUGGAGGAACAGGUCCUGUGAAGCCCGGCAACCAAUCGCUGAUGCGAUACGGUGCCAAUUCCUGCGGUAUAACCGAGAGAUGAGGG
rfam:Ruminococcus callidus ATCC 27760 genomic scaffold Scaffold757, whole genome shotgun sequence.